AGUCACGUGGUCUAAUGGUUAUGAUUUCUCGUUCACAUCUGCUGAACGACCCGAGAAGGUUCCCGGUUCGAUCCCGGGCGUGACUA
rnacentral:tRNA from 1 species